rnacentral:rRNA from 1 species
UACGAAGGGGGCUAGCGUUACUCGGAAUUACUGGGCGUAAAGGGCGCGUAGGCGGCGUUCCAAGUUAGGCGUGAAAGUCCUGGGCUCAACCUGGGAACUGCGCUUAAGACUGGAGUGCUUGAGGAUGGAAGAGGCUCGUGGAAUUCCCAGUGUAGAGGUGAAAUUCGUAGAUAUUGGGAAGAACACCGGUGGCGAAGGCGGCGAGCUGGUCCAUUACUGACGCUAAGGCGCGAUAGCGUGGGGAGCAAACAGG